rnacentral:rRNA from 1 species
CAGGCCUAACACAUGCAAGUCGAACGAUGGUCUUCCCAUCAUAGUGGCGCACGGGUGCGUAACGCGUGGGAAUCUGCCCUUGGGUCUGGGAUAACAGCGGGAAACUGCUGCUAAUACCGGAUGAUAUCGCGAGAUCAAAGAUUUAUCGCCUGAGGAUGAGCCCGCGUCGGAUUAGCUAGUUGGUGGGGUAAAGGCCUACCAAGGCGACGAUCCGUAGCUGGUCUGAGAGGAUGAUCAGCCACACUGGGACUGAGACACGGCCCAGACUCCUACGGGAGGCAGCAGUGGGGAAUAUUGGACAAUGGGCGAAAGCCUGAUCCAGCAAUGCCGCGUGAGUGAUGAAGGCCUUAGGGUUGUAAAGCUCUUUUACCCGGGAUGAUAAUGACAGUACCGGGAGAAUAAGCCCCGGCUAACUCCGUGCCAGCAGCCGCGGUAAU